AUUGAACGCUGGCGGCAGGCUUAACACAUGCAAGUCGAGCGGGGGAAGGUAGCUUGCUACAUUUCCUAGCGGCGGACGGGUGAGUAAUGCUUAGGAAUCUGCCUAUUAGUGGGGGACAACAUUCCGAAAGGAAUGCUAAUACCGCAUACGCCCUACGGGGGAAAGCAGGGGAUCUUCGGACCUUGCGCUAAUAGAUGAGCCUAAGUCAGAUUAGCUAGUUGGUGGGGUAAAGGCCUACCAAGGCGACGAUCUGUAGCGGGUCUGAGAGGAUGAUCCGCCACACUGGGACUGAGACACGGCCCAGACUCCUACGGGAGGCAGCAGUGGGGAAUAUUGGACAAUGGGCGAAAGCCUGAUCCAGCCAUGCCGCGUGUGUGAAGAAGGCCUUUUGGUUGUAAAGCACUUUAAGCGAGGAGGAGGCUACUUGGAUUAAUACUCUAGGAUAGUGGACGUUACUCGCAGAAUAAGCACCGGCUAACUCUGUGCCAGCCGCCGCCGUAA
rnacentral:rRNA from 1 species